UUUUCCAGAGAAGAGAAGCUUUACUGGUGUUCCAGCCCUAAGGCUCAUAUGACAUUAACAGACAAGACACUUUUCAGAAAGACAGGUAAGUCAUUUGUUAAAAUCUCACUACUGUUGUUUAACAGAAACAUAUAUAUGCAUGUAUAUGUGUGUACUGUAUGGAAAAAGUGGAAUUAGAGUUUAUCUAGAAAAGAAAAAAUUACCUCAUCUAAGUGCAGAAAUGAAUAAUACUUAAACCAUACCAUACAAUUCUCUAUCAUAUUUCCACAGAUAAGUCAAAAAUUUAAAAAAUCUUAUUGUUCAUGCAUAAAUGCAGAAAACAAUACCUCUAGUAUAUGUUUGUGUUCUAUUGUACUUUCACAGAAGGUGUUUGAUACUUAAUACUGUGUUUAUUAAGAAAAAUCUUUGCAAUGGUUAUGGAAUUAAAAUUUCAUGUAAAAAUGAUUAUGUAGAUCAAGAAAAGUUGCAAUUUUCUGGAUUCCUGAUAUUUUAAAUAAAAGUAGUUUCCAAAGG
ensembl:lncRNA NUTM2B-AS1 NUTM2B antisense RNA 1